UACGUAGGGUGCAAGCGUUGUCCGGAAUUAUUGGGCGUAAAGAGCUCGUAGGCGGUUUGUCGCGUCGGCUGUGAAAACCUAGGGCUCAACUCUGGGCUUGCAGCCGAUACGGGCAAACUAGAAUUCGGUAGGGGAGACUGGAAUUCCUGGUGUAGCGGUGAAAUGCGCAGAUAUCAGGAGGAACACCUGUGGCGAAAGCGGCUCACUGGACAGUAACUGACGCUGAUGCACGAAAGCUAGGGGAGCAAACAGG
rnacentral:rRNA from 1 species